rnacentral:rRNA from 1 species
AGCGAACGCUGGCGGCAGGCCUAACACAUGCAAGUCGAACGAACCUUCCGGGGUUAGUGGCGGACGGGUGAGUAACACGUGGGAACGUGCCUUUAGGUUCGGAAUAAUUCAGGGAAACUUGUGCUAAUACCGAAUGUGCCCUUCGGGGGAAAGAUCUAUCGCCUUUAGAGCGGCCGGCGUCUGUUUAGCUAGUUGGUUGAGGUAAUGGCUCACCAAGGCGACGAUCAGUAGCUGGUCUGGGAGGAUGAUCAACCACAUUGGCACUGAGACACGGCCCAAACUCGUACGGAAGGCAGCAGUGGGGAGUCUUGCGCGAUGGACGAAAGCCUGACGCAGCCAUGCCGGGUGAAUGAUGAAGGUGUUAGGAUUGUAAAAUUCUUUGAGCGGGGACGAUAAUGACGGUACCCGGAGAAGAAGCCCCGGCUAACUUCGUG